rnacentral:lncRNA from 1 species
AAGCACAAUUGUUUCAUUACCUCUUCAAGUGGCCUCAUCAAACGUGGUUCCACUAUUGGUCUCAAAGUACACCAAUCCCACAUAGCCUUAUCAAUCAAACAAGUGGACCAACCAAUAAAACCCCUACCUCUAUUUAAUGCAAACUCAAAACUAGCAUGGAUGUCAUCAUAGGCAAAGAGGUAGUAUAGGAAAUAAUCAAGUAUAAAGACAUGUACGGGUGAAGACAAAGCAUUUAAGC